CGGCUGCGGAGGCUGUUCCCUGGGCUCCGCAGCCGGGUCUGGGGCCAGCGUGGCCGACUGAACCGAGGUGCCGUCGGGUGUGCGCUUCACUCGGCUGGGUCCCGGGCCUGCGGGUCGCGAACUCGGUAGGUCUGAGUUCUGUGACUCCUUUCUGUUGGUGAUGGGGUCCGUGCGAGGGGAGAUUACCAGAAGAAAGCCUGGGACCCCACUUCACAGGCAGCCCGCUAAGAUUUGCUUGUGGGAUCACCCGAGCUCCUACUGUGCCCCCCACAAGCCUUCCUGCUUAACUACUGAAGAGUUUGCUGUCACCCUGACCUUCCAUUAGCGCUUCCCAUUACACUGCAAUUAAUAAGGUCACCUGGAACGACGACUCAUUUCCCUGUGGUUUGAAAUGGCCGAAAGAAUGCCAAGAGGCGGCGCACAAAUAAAUGGUGGCUGAAUCUAUCAGCUAAAGGAAGUGCCAACUAGAAGAGAGAAUGACCACUGGAGGCUUUAGGAUGCUCUCUCUAUCAUCUGCUCUUCCUCUUCUAACAGUGUGUAGCAGCCCUAGUGUUUGGUUAGUUCAGGGAUGACAUACUACAGUGUAUACAAGCAGUGAGGUUUGGGGCUUCUGUUUAAUGUUUUGACUUAGUGAUGAUUUUUUUUUUUUUCACUUUGGAUAUAAUUGAAGAAACAUACAUCUCUGAUUCCUGCUGGCAGAUUUGCCACCAUAAUAGAAAGUAGCCGGAGGACAAAAUUGAUAGGAGGAAAAAGACAGGGCCGAGACCAUCACAUUGAGUCAAUAAUUCCUUUUACUAAGUGAGACAGUGGGCUUCAGGGUUUGCUGUUACUUGUAACAGUGUACAAAAUAUUUGGGGAAGGAUUUUUCCAAAGUGGGGAAAAAAAAUCUCUCAAUAAUGAGAUGGCUUGAGAAAAUGACCAUAAAGUUGGACUUUGUGCAGUGUGUAAGAUGAGUAACUUCCUUAUGAGACUAGAAAAAUAAUCUCAAAACCACAAUUUGGAAAACUGACUCCUAAGAGUUGCAAAAAUUUUUAAUGUUUUCAUGGUAGCAAAAGCUAUUAAAGAAGAGUGAAUAAAUUGUUUGGCAGAAAGUAUUCAAUAGCCUUAGGGAAAAAUUGGAAUUUGUUCUCCCUUUAUCUGCACAAGUAUGUUGCCUUUUAUGUAGUAGGCACUACCUGAAUACUUAAUUUAAUCUAUUAACUAUUUGACAUAGAAAAAAAUCAGAAGAACAGAAUUCUGACUCUUCCAUUGACAUGGGAUAAAGAAGUACAAGUAUAUAACCUAGAGGUUCCUAUAUCCAGACACAGGAAAAACAACAAAACAGCAGUACCUAGAAUCAACUGAAAGGGCCCUCCCACAAGGUCACUUACCUUCCCUCCUGCCUAUGAAUCCUUCCUGACCUCUUAGUUGAGUUUGAGUUUUCCAUUCCCAAAAGAAACCAGGUAGGAUGGUCACUUAGAUGUCUUUCCAACGGAGUCAUAAAAAUUUGAGUCCCUUACUUGUCAAGUUCUCCUGCAUAUUGGUGCAAAUGGGCUUAUAUUCCCUUUUCAGAUAGACCUCUGCCCAAAUCUAAAUUACUUUUAUUUAUUUUUAUGUAGUGCUGAGGAUCGAACCCAGCACCUUGCAUGUGCUAGGCAAGCACUCUACCACUGAGCCACAACCCCAGCUCCCUAAAUCACUUUUUAAAGCAGAAGAACAGAGAGAAUAGAGGAGGAAGGAGGAAUCCAUGGGGCAGAAAGAAAGAGUGGCUUCAUAUCAGUAAACAAGACAUGUUACAUUUUUUUUAGAGCUGAGUGGUGACUGUUUGGGGACCAACCAAAUAAGCUUCUAAUGUCCAUGACCUGUUAAAAUCUCUAUUAUCCUCAUUUGUAAUACCAUAUAUUUUAGUUGUACAACAUCCUGAAUAGUUCACGUAAAAAUCUGAAGGUUUCUCUGCUUGGAAAAAUGUACAAAAAUGUGAGAAUUCCGGGCAGAAUUGGUUUUAACAAUGUGUAUCCUGUGACCUUGCUAAACUCACUUAUUAGUUGUAGGACAUUUUUGUGGGAGAUUUUUCUCUUGGAUUUUCUUUUUUACCAUCAUACCUGGUUUCUUGUGGAGAUCAAAAACUGAUUCAACUGACAGAAAGGGUCAGAAUGGAGGAAGGAAGCCAAAGUGAUCUUGUGGGAGGGCCCUAUCAGUUGACUCAGUGUCCUGUUGCUUUGUAGAUUUUCCUGUAUCUGAAGGUUAUUAUUGUUAAUCAUGUAAUCUGUGAAGAGGGACAAUUGUACUUAUUCCUUUUCAAUAGGGAUGUCUUUUUUUAUAGCAUAGGCUUACACUUCCGGUACUGUGUUGAAUGGGAGGGUAAGCAUACAUUCUUGCCUUGAUCUAAUCUCUGGAGAAAAGCAGUCUUUCACCGUUGAUUAUGUUAGUUGUAGGGUUUUUUUUUUUUGUGUGUGUGUGUGUGUGCCCUUUUAUGAACCCCAUGAAUCUUCAAUUUAAGCACCCUUAUGUCUUUCAUGAAAAUUAAGUGCAGGAAUGGUGAAAAAUGUUUUGCUCAGUCUACACUCCUGAAAAUGCUUCUAUUUUUAUCAUACUCCCUUUGAUGCACUAUGUGACUUACUCCUACUUUUUUGUACUCUUAGGUGAUGUUCUCAUUAUAUAUAAGUCUUUUUUUUUUUUUUUUUUGGUAUCAGGGGUUAAACCCAAGGGUGUUCAACCACGGAACCAUAUCUCCAGCCCCCUCCUUUUAAAUUUUGAUACAGGGUCUUGUUAAGUUGCUUAGGGCCUCACUAAGUUAUUGAGGCUGGCUUUGAACUUGCAGUUCUCUUGCCUCAGCCUCCUGAGCCAUUGGGAUUACAGAAUGAGCCACCAUGCCCAUCUACACAUGAGCCUUUGAAGUGUCACUCUAAAAGUUUUGGUCUUAUAUAGACCCCUUGCUCCACUGUGGUAACAUGGCCAGGGAGAUGGCCAUAUCCUUUCAUUUAUCUGUCUGUCUACCCAUUCAUCCAGCCAUAGCUAUCUAUCUGGUUUGUGUUUUUAUAUUCAUAUACACAUGCGAAUAGUUCAUAGGUAAUGGAAUUCCAUUAAGAGAUGUACAAAAUCUGUCAUCUUAUGAUGUUGGCAGUGAUUGAUGAUCAUUUCUUGGAUCCAUUAAUUCAUUAGGAGUUACAAACAUGUACACCCAUGUGUAUUCAUCAUAUAACUUCAAUAAUUGACAACAUGUGACCAUGCUUGUUUUGCUUCUAUCCAUAUCUACUACUCCUCUAAUUUUCCAUAUUAUUUUGAAAUAAGCCUAAGAAAUUAUUCACGUACACAUAGAAAAGUAGAACAACAGCAUUGUCACACAAAUAAUGGUAAGGUUAUUUCGUUGUUGUUCUUCAGUACUGGAGAUUGAUUGAAGUCAGGGCUAUGCCAGGUAGCAUUUUAUCCCUGAGCUACAUCUGCAGCCCUUUUUAAAAAUUUUGAGACAUGACUUCAGUAAAAUGCCAUUUUUGCCUUGAGCUUGUAAUCCUCAUGCUUCAACCUCUGAGUAGCAAAUAACAGUGAAUUCUUAAUAUUACUACAUACCAAAUCAGUGUUUAUAUUUGCCAGAUUUUCUUAACACAUUUUUAGAGUUGAUUAUUAUUAUUAUUAUUAUUAUUAUUAUUAUUAUUAUUUUGGAUACUGGAGACUGAACUCAGGGGCAUUUAACCACUGAGCCACAUCCCCAGCCCUUUUUAUAUUUUAUUUAGAGACAGGAUCUUGCUAAGUUGCUGAGAUUGGCUUUGAACUCACAAUCCUUCUGCCUCAGCCUCUCGAGCCACUGGGAUUACAGUUGUGUAUCAUGGGUGCCUGGCAGAGUUGGUUGUUUGAUUCAGAUUUUAAGAAGGCCUGUACAUUGCAAUUGAAUUCACCUAAGUCUUCAAUCAGAAGGUUCCCCCUCUGUCUACUUUUCCUUGCAGUUCUUAAAGCCAUUGAGUCAUUUUUCCUGAAGAGUUUCUUACAGUUGGGUUUUGCUGAUUGAAUCCCUGUGUUCUCAUUUAUCAUUCUCUUUGUCUAUGUUUUCUAUAAAUUACUAGUUAAAUUUAAAGAUUUGAUCAAACUCUGGUUUGUAUUUUUAUAUGCAUACACACAUGUGAAUAGUUCAUAGGUAAUGUAAUUCCAUUAAGAGAUGUACAAAAUCUGUCCAAUCUUGUGAUGUUGGCAGUGAUUGAUGAUCAUUUCUUGGAUCCAUUAAUACAUUAGGAGUUAAAAAAUGGUGAUAUUAUGAUUCUAUUGUUGUUUAUUAGCUGAGGUACUGUUUUGAUUAUUUAUUUUUAAUUUUUAACUAAUUUUUAAAAAGUAAAUGAUGGCAGAAUGCAUUACAAUUCUUAUUACAUAUAUACAGCACAAUUUUUCAUAUCUCUGGUUGUAUAUAAAAUAUGUUGACAACAAUUCGUGUCUUCAUACUUGUACUUUGAAUAAUGAUGUCCUUGCUAAUCCCCUGCCCCCUCUCUUUCCCUCCCAGCCCUCUUCCCUAUGUAGAAUUCAUCUAUUCCUCCCAUGCUCCCUCUCCCUACCGUACUAUGAGUCAUUCUCCUUAUAUCAGAGAAAACACUUGGCAUUUGUGGGAUUGGCUAACUUCACUUAGCAUUAUCUUCUCUAGUGCCAUCCAUUUACCUGCAAAUGCCAUGAUUUUUUUAAAGAGAGAGAGAGAGAGAGAGAGAGAGAGAGAGAGUUUUUUAAUAUUUAUUUUUUUUUUUAGUUUUCGGCAGACACAACAUCUUUAUUUGUAUGUGGUGCUGAGGAUCGAACCCAGGCCACAUGCACGCCAGGAGAGCGCGCUACUGCUUGAGCCACAUCCCUAGCCCAGUGCCAUGAUUUUAUUCUCUUUAUUGCUGAGUAAUAUUCCAUUGUGUAUAUAUGCUACAUUUUUUUAAUCCAUUCAUCUACUGAAGGGCAUCUAGGUUGGUUCCACAGUUUAGCUAUUGUGAAUUGUGCUGCUGUAAACAUUGAUGUGGCUGUGUCCCUGUAGGAUGCUGUUUUUAAAUCCUUGGGUAUAGUCCAAGGAGAGGGAUAGCUGGGUCAAAUGGUGGUUCCAUUCCCAGAUUUCCAAGGAAUCUCCAUCUGCUUUCCAUAUUGGCUGCACCAAUUUGCAGUCACACCAGCAAUGUAUGAGUGCAUCUUUUCCCCCACAUUCUCGACAACACUUAUUGUUGUUUGUGAGGUACUUUUUUUAAAAAAUAUUUUUUAGUUGUGGUUGGACACAAUACCUUUUACUUAUUUAUUUAUUUUUUUAAAGAGAGAGAGAGAGAGAGAAUUUUUUAAUAUUUAUUUUUUAGUUUUCGGUGGACACAACAUCUUUAUUUUAUUUUUAUGUGGUGUUGAGGAUUGAACCCAGCGCCCCGCACUUGCUAGGUGAGUACUCUACUGCUGAGACACAACCCCAGCACAAGCAGAGGUACUCUUUUUAAAUAUAUUUUUUUUUAGUUGUGGAUAGACACAAUAUCUUUUUUUUUUUUUAAUGUGGUGCUGAGGAUUGAAUCCAGUGCCUCACAUGUUAGAGGCAAGAGCUGUAUCACUGAGCAACUGCCUCAGCCCUGAUAUACUUCUUCAAGAAGAAAUUUCCCUUCACUUAACAUUUUUAGUCUCAUAAGUUCAAUGUUUGAGUCUCACUAUACUUACUAGUUUUCAAAGCAGUGGAUUUUAAAAUAAUCCUCCUAAAGUGACCAAUUAUUUUUUUCCUAGAAUCAGCCAUGGAUCUAAAAAUAUUUGAAGAAUUUCAGUCUAUUGUAGCUCUUACCUUUCCCAUUGUUCAGAUUGUCCCAUUCUUGGCUUUUGGGAAAGAUCCUCUUUACUUUGGUUCCGGAGUUGACGGUGUUCUUUCACAUAGACCUUUAACUCCCAAGAUUAGAUGGAACCUUAGACGUUGCUGCUUUAACCUCCAUUCUUUUCUACUGAAGCUCAUUUCUGCUCAUCAAAGAGCCCUAAUUAUGUAUUUACAACUAGCUUCCUUAUUGUGCUAAUUGAAAUGAUUCAUCAUGUUGUCCCAACAUUAGCAAUCAUUCCUUGACUGGGUUUAGAAUAUUUUUAAGCAUUGUUGCUUUAACCUGACAGGUUCAGAUAAAGCAAUUAAAGCACAUAUAUACAGACUGGGCUGAAUUGGAAAUUUAUUCAGCACUGAUAAAUUUAUUUAUCCCACUGUUUUCAACUUUAAUUUCUCAGUCUCUUCCAAUUUUAUUCCUUAUAAUUGAGGGGAAGCAGCAUCAUCUGUAAGACUGAAGAAGAAAAUCAUUGUUGCUGCCCCCCAACUUAGCUCUUCUGUUCACUGCUUCUGAGGUGAGUGGUGAUAGGAAAAAUCAAAAUGCUUUGAUUUUUUGAAGUUUCUCUACAGUGGACCAAGGAACACAGUGAAGUUGGAGUAAACAGUGUGCACGAGUGUGUGUGUGUGUACACAUAUAUGUAAAAUCUAUAAUGUGUUUUAGCAUGUAUGUGUAUAAAAUAUAUUCAUACACAAGAUCUCUAAGAAAUCCCAAGUAUAUGCUACUUUUUUAUGGCCCAAAUUAUUUCACUCUACUGCCAAAGAAACUUAGGGUAGAUUCCUAUUUUGAUGAGCAACUUGAAAUCACUUGCAAUAAAAGAGCCAGUUAAGUAGGUUUUGUGUUCAUCCCAAACCUGUAAAAGUUUCUUAAACACAGUCAGAAACCGCUACAUUCUAGGAUUGCAGCUCCAUGAAUUACUCCAGAACUGAUGUUCUCACAGAACUCUGUCUUUUUCACACUUGAAGCCUAAGAGAGCCUUUUUUUCUUUUGUCCUUCCUCCCCUCAUCCACUCCUCCCUUGCAUUGGCUUGAGUAAAGCUGUCCAUGAGUUGCUAUGGCAGGCAGAGCAGCACCUUCUGGGGGGUCCCUGGGAGAUGAGGGUCCAUGUACUCCUAACACCCCAGCUGCCUCACAACCACUCUGUUUCACCACAACUUCACCAUCAAGUUGUUAUUGUACAGGGAUUUUUUUUCCUCUGAAAUGGUGGAGGCAGGCAUAAUGUCCUUGACCAUGGGAUGGCCUCUUUGUUCUUUUUUUUUUAUUUUUAAGAAAGUCUUUUAGUUGUAGAUGGACACAAUAUAUUUAUUUAUUUAUUUAUUUAUUUUUUAAUGUGGUGUUGAGGAUCGAAGCCAAUGCUUCACACAUGCUAGGUGAGCGAUCUACUACUGAGCCACAACUACAGCCCCCUGUUGUUGUUCUUAAGGAAAAAAAAAAUCUUGGGACUAGGUUGUAGCUCAGUGGUAGAGUACUUGCCUAGCACAUGUGAGGCACUGGGUUCAAUCCGCAGCACCACAUUAAAAAAUAAAUAAAUAAAUAAAACAAAGGUAUUAUGUCCCUCUACAACUAAAAAAUAUUUUAAAAAUCUUGUAUUUCUUACCUUACUAGUUUAUGGUGAGUGCAGAAAUCUCCUAAAAGUAUUUAUUAUCUUUUGUACUUUAAAGAAUAUUUACAAAUUGUGAGCAUUCUGAGAUGUCCCAAUAUUCUUAAACCAAUUGCAAAGAGCUUAUUUUGAUUUUAGAAAAAAAUCUUUAUAUUUCACAUCCUGUGGACUGCAGAUUAGUUCAUGUUUUUAGAAUGUAUGGUAGCUUGAUGAGUCAAUUCAUGACUUGUUCAAUGAGUAUGUUCUUUUCCAAUUUUAAAAGUAACACAGGUUCAUUGAAGAAUAUCAGGAAAAUCUCAAAAAGAAAAUAAAAAUCACCUUGAAUUUAUUAUAGAAGCAGAAAAUAGGGACAAUGAGUUUGUCAAUAUUAUGUGCUGUGUUACUGCAUACAUUGUAUACCAGAUGGAGACUGCUUUAUGUUAACUAUCACUCACUCCUCCCAUAAUAUAAAUUGAGGAUAUUACAAGGCCCUGCCCAUGUAAAACUAUCUACCAGUUGGGCGUGGUGCCACCAUUCCAUUAAAAUGCACCUAUUGCUGGACACAGUGAUACAACCUGUAAUCCCAGCAACUUUGGAGGCAGAGGCAGAAGAAUCACAAUUUCAAAGCCAGCUUCAACAACUUAGUGAGGCCCUAAGCAGUUUAGUAAGACCAUGUCUCAAAAUGAAAAAUAAAAAGGACUGGUGAUGUGGCUCAUUGGUUAAGAGCCCCUGGGUUCAAUCUGUAGUACAAAAAAAAAAAAAUCUGUUGCUUAGUGAGGGGCCAGCGAGACAUCCAAUCUUUUUUCUUUAUUGUUAGUAUAGUGGUAAACUUUAUUUAGAAAAUUCAAUCCUUGGCUCUUUUCAAUUUCAGUUAUAACUCAACAUUGGCCUGGAAGAAGUACAUUAUUAAUGACCAGUGUGGCUAAAACCCACAUCACAUAUUUCAGUUGAUUUUUUUUUUUUUUUGGUAGGAGAUUGAACCCAGAGGUGCUUUAAUACUCACAUCCCAGCCCUUUUUAUUUUUAUUUUGCCACCAUGCCUAGCUCAAUUUACUUUUAAUAUAUAUAAUGCUUAGAAUAGAAGUGGGUAUAGUUAUUCUGCUAUAACCCUUUGCUCUUUAUACCUCAUAAGAAACUGAGGCCAGAAUUUAUGGUACUUGCUAAAGGUCCUAAAGUAGUCAGUAGCAGAGAUAGUACCAGAACUAAGGAUUUCUGACCCUCAGUACAAUGCUAUCUUUUUCAUGACAAAAAAAAAAAAAAUUAGCUAUCAGGUAUUAUACUAUAGAGUCACAUGAACAUGCUCCUGCCAACACACAUUAUGUUUUAAUUUCUUAAGUAAAAUAGUAUAACAAUUUUGAACACAAAUGUCCAUGAUUCUUUUAAAUUUUUUUUUAGUUGUACAUGGAUGCAAUACUUUUAUUUAUUUAUUUAUUUUUAUGUGAUGCUAAAGAUCAAACCCAGUGCCUCAUGCAUGCUAGGCAAGCACUCUACCACUGAGCUACUACCCCAGUCCAAUGUCCAUGAUUCUUAUAUGUUCAUAGUGGUAAAUUCUGAUUUCUACUUUAAGUCAGGAUGGGCUUCUUUGUGUUCAUUGUAUCAGGUUAAAGGAUUAUUAGUUUUCUAAGGCUUCUAUAAGAAAUCACCAUAGAUUUAAAUCACUAGUAGUUUAGAUCACAGAUAUUAUUGUUCUGGAGACCAAAAGCCCAAAGCACUUGGCAGACAGGGUUUGUUCAGAGACUCUGAGGGAAGGAUCUGUCCUUGGCUUAGAAAUGGGUAUCUUCCCGUAUGCCAAAUUUAUGUAUUUCUGUAGCCAAAUCUCUCCCCUUUUCUCCCAGUUAUAUUGGAUCAGGGUCCAUCUGUUGAACAUAUAAUAACUUCCCUCUGUAAAGACUCCAUUUCCAAAUUAGGUCAUGUUCAGCAUAUGCUGUGAGUUAGAGAUUAAAAUAAUGUACCCCAUAGAAAUUUUAUCCUAAAAAGGCAUAUAAAACCAAUUCUAAGGCUAAGAUUCAGAAAAAUAUGCCUCUAAGCAAACAGAGAUGAUGAUGCCAAAGAGCAGCAGUGGUAAUGCCUGAAUGGUUUGGGGCAAAAUAAGAAGCUGUCAGAGGCAGGACCAGGAGCAAACUGCUGGUUGUUGGCCCCAGUGGAAGGUCUUUCUUCCUACUCUAUAAUCCACUUAGUCCUCAGAUUUAAGAGAAAAGUUGCAAAAACAAUAAAGGACUGUACACCUUUUACCCAAAUUAACAAUAUGCUUUAUCAUUCUUGCUCAGUGUCUGAAUAACAUACAUUUUUUUUCUAAAAUAUGGAGAGCAAAUUGUAGACAUCAUGUUCGUUUAUCCCUAAAUACUUCAGUACAUUUCCUCAAAAUAAGAAAAUACUUUACAUAAUCAUAAUAAUUAAAAUCAGAAAAUCAACAUUGAUACUAUUAGUAUUCAAUCUACAGACUAUUAAAAUGCCACCCACUGUCCCACCAAUGUGCUAUAUCAUAAUCCAAAGUCCUAGUGGUGGUUUACAAGGCCCUACAUGGUCCACCUCCCAGUUACCUCUCCAGAUUUAACUCUUAUCUCUUCUCCUGCCCAUCCUCCCUUGCUGCUCUUUCUGCUGGAUGACUUUUCCUCAGGUGCUUUCCUUGCUCACCCCACACCUCCUUCAAGGCUUUCCUGAAAUGUCAUCUCCUCAAGGCUUUCCUUGAGCAUCCUACUUAGUAUUUCAAUGCUACCUUACUCCUUGCAUUCUCUAUUUCACUGGUUUGUAUAUUUUUUAAAAUAUUUUUUAGACAUUGAUGGGCCCUUAUUUUGUUCAUUUAUUUAUAUGUGGUGCUGAGAAUCAAAAUCAGUGCCUCACACAUGCUAGGCAAGCACUCUACCACUGAGCCACAACCCCAGCUCCAUGGUUUGUGUAUUUUUAAGCCUUGGUCCACAAUAUUGAAUACAUUUAUUUGACAUCAUUACUCAAGUAUGCACACAAGUAUACACACAUAUGUAAAAAACUGAAACAAAAAAUUCCAAAACAAAGCUUACUAUUGCCAUGUGCAAGCACUUGAUGUUUUCUUUUAAAAAAAUUUAUUUUGAUUAGUUAUACAUGACAGUAGAUGCAUUGUGAUACAUUGUACACAAAUGGAGCAUAACUUCUCAUUCCUCUGGCCCUACAUGGUGCUGAGUCACACCAGUAGUGUAAUCAUACAAGUAUAUAGGAUAAUAAUGUCUGUCAUUCUACCGUCCUUCCCAUCCCCACUCCCCUACCCCUCCUCUCACUCCCCUCUGCACAAUCCAAAGUUCCUUCAAUCUUCCCUACCCACCACCCUACUAGGGAUCAGCAUCUGCUUAUCAGAGAAAACAUUUGGCCUUUGGUUUUUUCGGAUUGGCUUAUUUCGCUUAGCAUGAUAUUCCCUAGUUCAGCGCUUGAUGUCUUCUAUGGUGUAAAAUAGAUCAAUAAGAGAAAGUAUUCCUGUCAUUUUUUUGUUCAUGGUAACAACUCCAGGGCCUAGGACAAUGCUUGGCAUAAAAUAGAAUUUAGUAAAUAUUUGUUGACUGAACUAAAUCAAUAAUAGGCUAGAAUGGAAAGUAGUGGCAUGAGGUGUAAGUAGGUUAGCAAUACAUUCAUGGCUUUGAAUGGAGGAAAGAAGCACCUCUUUUGAUAGAAAUGAGAUUGCUCAGCUGGUGAAUAGACAGGGAGCUGGGAGCUGAAGGAAUCUGGGAUUACAGUGUUGCUACUGGAGUAGGCUGGGACCCUCAAAAUUAAUACUGUAGGAACAAACAUCUGUGUAGGCUGGCCUUUCUUUUCUGUUUUAUGUGUUUUCCUUAUUUAUUAAAAAAAUUUUGGGGGGGAGAUUUUUCCUUAGCUGUAAUUAGGAGACACAAUGGACAAGUUUUGGUAACUGAGCCAGUUCUGAGAAGGGAUGGAGCAAGUCCUUGGGAGCACUGUGGUUGUGGCAGUGAGAAGGAGAGUGAGGAAUCCUUAUAGGAAAAGGGGAACUUGGGUACAGGACUUUGGAUCUCUUGGUCAAUUUAUUUUUUUAUUUUUGGAGAGCCUUACUCUAGGGCUAAAACCUGGGGAGCUGUGUUAUACCUUAACUAUUUCUCAGAUGACAUAUUUUCUUGGGCUUUCAUAUUCAGGCCCUUUGUAGUUUCACAUAUUGAAAAUCUUUCUUUUAUUUUUAAAUUUUUAUUCAACUCAUAGCAGCCAGAAAACAGAGAGAGAGAGAGAGAGAGAGAGAGAGAGAGAGAGAGAGAGAGAGAGAGAACGAGUAAGCGAGAGCGUGCGCAAUUGAGCGAGGAAGGGCAGGGAAGGGUCCAAAACAAGAUAUAGUCUCAAGGGCAUGCCACCCCCCCCCCCAACAUACUUCCUCCAAUCAUGCCCCACCUGCCUUCAGUUUCCACCACCACUUAGUAGUACAUCCGCUAUCAAUGGAUUAAUCCACUGAUGAAGUCAGACCCUUUACCGUCUAAUCCCUUCUCCAAAGCCCCUCCUGUGAACACAUGAGCCUUGGUGGGACACUACAGAUCCAUAUCGUAGUAGUGUGCCCUUAUCAGCUCCAGGCUGAUCUGGGACAUGCUCAAGUUUAAGACCUUUGUUAAAGAAGAGGUGUUAGGUGUGUCUAGGAUCCCAGCACAGUCUGUCCUCAGGCAGGAGCCAUUGAGAGUGGUCCCUGGUAGUACUGGAGCUGGAUUGAAGGAAUUUCAGGUCUGUUGCCCAGGCCUGUUCUGGGUAGUGGGGGUUGUCCUACUCAGUCCCCAUAAAUAUCACUGACUAUCCCUCUGUCUCUGUCCCACCAGAGCUUAAGAUCCCUAAAGACACCAAUAUGUUCUAUGCCAUGAACUCUAUCACCACCUAUGAUUUCAUCUUGAAAAAGUAGACCUUCACUUAGUGGCUAAAUGUCCAGCACAGAGCCAGCUUGAGGUAAAGGUGGCUCAAGAUAGCCAAGGGCAUCUUCUAAGAACAUCUACUUGGGGUCUGCCUGGCUAAUGGUCAAACACUUUCAGACUAGAGUAACCAAGUUAAGCACGCUUCUUUUGCCCACAUGGCAGCCCAGAAUAUAGUUUGACCCAUAUAUAUCCUCCCCUGAUGUGGUUUUAACUAACCCCUGCUAUUCAGCAGGCUGAACUGGCCUCCCUGGACCACUCACUGCCUAGGUGCCUUUUGCCCUCUGGAACCAGAGGACUAGCUGCUUGUUGCUAAGAAGUGCUGCCAAUGGGCAUGACAUCCUGCCUGCCUCAGAGAACUCACAGGAUUCUCAAUUUAUUUUGUACACUAGUGGAAAGGACCAGCCGCCCUUCUCAAGGUGAAGGACUGUGCAUGUCCACCUCACAUGAAGCAAGUGUUUAUUUUAGUAUGAUUUAACUGACAUGCUGAGAUGCGCUGAGAACUCCUGGGAUUAGAGUUUGGAGGGGCUUUCACAGAGCAUGGAACAAUCUCUGAGAGGCCUGAGAAUCAUUGGUGGCUUAAAGGCCACAUGGUUGUCCCAGAAGUCAUCAUGGGGACAUCCUUGAUCUUGGCACUUUUGUCAAAUACGAACUAAUCAUAGUCAUAUAAAUUUAUGUCUGGAUGCAAGAUUCCUCUCGAUUAAUCCUCAUGUCAGUACCACACUGUCUUGACUACUGUAGCCUUGAAAAAGUAAGUUUGGAAAUCAGGAAAUAACUUUGAACUUCAUUCUUUACAAAAUUGUUUUAGCUAUUAUGUUUCCCUUGCAUUCCCAUAUGAAUUUUGGGAAUGAUUUUUCAAUUUCUGCACAGAAAGAAAAAAAGAUAGUUGGGAUUUGUUACAGGGGUUGCAUUGAAUCUAUAGGUUAAUUUAGGAACCAGUGGCAUCUUAACAAGUCUUUCAGUCAUUAUGUAUGGAAUGUUAGGUCUAGUUGGUUUACAAAUUUGCUCAAAUCAACAGUAUCUUUGCUGAUCUUGUAUUCAUUAUUGAAAAGGGACUGAAGUCUCCAACUACUAUAGUUCAUUUCUCUUUGAUUCUGUCAGGUUUUGCUCCAUGUAUGUUGGGGCUCUGUUUUUAGGUGUAUUCAUGUUAUAAAUUAUUUUGUUCAUCUUUUUUCAUUGUAUAGUGCCCUCCUUUGUCUUUUCAUGAAUAAAUUUUGGCUUAAAUUCUA